rnacentral:tRNA from 1 species
GCGCCCGUAGCUCAGGUGGAAGAGCAUCGGCCUUCUAAGCCGAGGGUCGGGGGUUCGAAUCCUCCCGGGCGCA